CUCUGAGGAGGGAUAAACAGAGCCCACAGACAGCGAGACAACACUUUUUGCAUCUCUAUGCUUUGAAACAGUUCGGUUCGGGUUGCUGGUUUUCACAGAGAGAAGCGCUCCUGAGAACUUCGUGUUCUGCUUUGCCACUUCGGCUGUUUCACGUGGUUUGGGUGGAGUCCUGCUGUUUUUGCUGAGUGGUACAACUGCUUCUGCUGCUGCUGCUGUGGUUUGCUGCUUCGCUGUUUGACUGGACUGCUGGUAUCCUGACAACUGAGAUUGGUGUAUCCUCAAAGAACCCAACUACUCCGAUCAGCAGGAAGUAGCUUAAAGAGGCACAGCAGGCAAUCUCUUGGAUGCGGUUUUCUGGAACACUGUCUCUGUCCUGGCACAGAUAUGAUUACCUUCCUUCGGGCUGAGUGGAAACAGUAUGCUGAUGGAGUCCUCUGGCACAGCUUCAGCCAGGGCGAUGGGCUGGACAGGAGAAGCGAGAUGAGACAUUGGAGCUUGGGAAGACUUGCAACGCCACUGAUGGAGAACAACUGUUUCUACCCAGGACAUUCAGCCUUUGCCAGGGAAACAGAAUAGAAAUUCCAGAACUGUGCAGGGAAAGCGAGA